rnacentral:lncRNA from 1 species
UCAGAAUCAUUGUUAGGGUAUUGUAGUACCCCCACAGUAGAAAUAUUAUGUAAGAUUGUAUCCAUAUUACAACCCAUAAAAGUUCUAACCAAUUCAGUUCGUAGGAUGUCUGCCCAAAAUAUAUCAUUGACAAACAUCAGCGAAACUGAUAAUAUCCUAGACUUGUUCAAAAAAACUUCAUUUGCUGCUUCUUUGGCCAAUGCAUUAGCUACCCUGUUCUGCUUCUGAUAGGUGUGCUUCACUACCACCCUGUCCAUCGUGCAUAUUAAUUACCUGCAUUCAGAAAUUAAGGGGUCAUAAAUAAGACUUUAUUUCAUUAACAUAUUGAUAAUUUCAGAAGAGUCAGUAUUGAUCUCAAGAGGAACCAUGUUAUUUUGUUUCGCGAGUUGUAGUCCCUUUAGAAGUGCCUUCAAUUCUGCCAUAGUGUUUGUUGUGUGGGGGAUGUUAUCCAUAUACCCAAUUAUCUAGUCUCCGUUGUGAUUUCUAAAUACGCAUCCUGAUCCUCAUAUCCCUGGAUUCUCUUUUGUUGCUCUAUCCGUGUUCAGCUUAUAGAAGCCUCUUCUUGGUGGCUCCCAUUUUGUUAUGAUUUGAUGUGUUAUUUUGUUGGAGCCAUUUUUUGUUAGCACAAAGUAUUCAGUAGCUUUGGAGAUUGUGUUUGAAGAGUUUAUGUGCUCCUUUUUGUCAUUGAAUAAAUUUUUGUUUUUUGUUAGCCAGAUGUGCCGGAAACAGAAGGGAAUGAUGUUGUCCCAUAUGAUAUUGCAAUUGAAAGGCAAAUUCCUGAUUGAAUUCCAUGUUGAUGGCCACUGAUGGUCAUUGAAGCCUGGACUUUGCUGUCUAUUAUCACGUAUAGAUUUGGACAGUAUUUCAUUUCAGAAGUGGACAACAUUAGGGCACUAAAAGAAGAUAUGGUCAAUAGUUUCUUGGCCACUGUUGCAGUAAGAACAUUGGGGAUCACAGUUGAUCCCUAUUCUAUGGAGGUAACUCUUAGUGGGAAGUCUCUUAUGGGUGAGGAGCUAGAUGAAAUUCUUAAUUUUGUUGAGAGUUUGUAGUUUCCAAACUCAUUUGAAGGAACCUUCCUCAUUAGUAUGAAGACUGGUGUCACUCUUGCUUAGGAAAGAGUAUGCAGAACUAUUUGUGAAGUGGCCAGUCGGGUUAAGUUCCAUAUGAGGGUGUCUUCCUUUUUUGGAGUUGGGGAAAUAAAAAUUGAGUUUAACAGAUUCAGGAUACUUGGGGGGAGAGCAAUAGACAGUGAGGAUGUGUCCCAAGUCCCUAGAUUGUAGAUUGAGUUAACCUUAGCAUUGAGGUUGUUUUGGGUUAAAGGGCCCUCAAUAAAAUCUCUAAUUGCUAGCUGAUUGGGAAUCCAUACAUCAUUUAGGAAGCUGCCCUGUUUCCCUUGUGAACUACCCAUCUGCUUGCUUUGCAGCAAAUAUCCCAACCCCUUAAGAUGCACUACCAGGUGGAUGAUUUUGGAUGCCUAGGAUAUCUAGAGGCUCUAACUAUCCUAGCUUUGUUGGUCAUGUUGCAGUGCUUAUGGAUUAGUACUCUUGCCUAUAGACUGUUGGUAUUUUUGAAAGUCCUCUGGGCAAGAUUUGUGAGAGAGGCUUUGUUCUUAAGAUUAGCCUUUUGGAGUCCUAGUCCUCCAUCAGUCUUUCUCUUAGUGACCACAUCCCACCUGAUUAGGUGGAGCUUCUUCUUUUCAGGAGUGGUGCCCCAAAGAAAGUUCCUUUGGAUUUUGUCAAUCUAUUUGGUAAAUUUAGUGGGCAGGUUGAUGUACUACAUGACAUGACUACGAAUGCUGUUUAAAGAAGUUUUAGCCAACACAGUUCUGCCAGUCAUGUUUAGGCAGCUUGUUUUCCAACCAGCCAGCUUGUAUUGCAUAUUAUCAAUGAUGAAUUGAAAGUCUGCACUGGUUUGAUUUUUAUGAAAAAUGGGGAAACCAAGGUAUUUUCCAAAGGAGGAGGUGGGUUGGAUGAAUAGAGAGUUGGUGAGAUUCUGUAUGGAUUCCUGUGGAGUAUUUGGGGAAAAGAGGAUCCUUGACUUAGCGAGAUUUAUUUUCUGACCUGAUUGUUCAUUGAAGUUCUUCAUAAUGGAAAGGAUAAUGUUAUAGUUCCUGUCAUUUGCUUUAGCAAAGAGGGUUAGGUCAUCUACGAAAAAAGAUGGGAUAUUUUAGGUCCAGAUCUGCUUAUACUUAUGGGUUGCCACUGAUUAUCCAGAACAACCUUGUCAAUUGAUCUUGAUAAUCUUUUCAUACACAUUAUGAAGAGGUAAAGAGACAUUGGGUCUCCUUGCCUGAUGCCUCUUGAAGGUUUGAAGGAUUCAGGUUUUCCACCAUUGACAAGAAUGGAGAUGAAGGAGAAACUGAUGCAGGACAUAAUGAGUUUGGAUAAACCUUGAGGGAAGUUGAAAGUAGAAAGAGUGUCUCUAAUAAAAGACCACUCUAGCCUGUCAAAGGACUUCUCCAGAUCAAUUUUGAGGAUCAUAUUGUCAUGUUUCCCUUUCAUUCUUCUAAAGUAUGUGAUGUACUUUUGGACAAUGAUGACAUUAUCACAAGCUCUCCUAUUGGAUAGGAAACUGGCUUGACUAGGCCCAAUGAUGUGAGGCAAGAUAGGCUUUAUUUUGUACACUAUAAUUUUUGUGAUGGACUUGUAUAUUGUGUUACACAGUCCAAUUGGCCUAAAACUUUUCAACAUUGAAGUUUGGGGGCAUUUUGGGAUGAUGCACAACAGAGUAUGGUUCAUGGUUUCAUCCAUAGAACUUGAAGAAAAACAUUUUUUACAGAACUCUGUGAUAGAGUCACCAACUAUGUCCCAAUAUUUUUGGUAGAAGAAGGGGUGGAGAUCAUCAGGUUCAGGAGAUUUGAAAGGUUUGUAGGAGAAGACUGCCCUUUUUAUCUCACUCAACUCUAGAGGUCUGUCUAAGAAAGCUCUUUGGGCAUCAGACAGAAUGGGAUACAUAGUGUAGUGGUUGGUGAAGGCCCUAUGGGCUUGGGAGUGGGAUGUGGUAUAUAGAUUAGUGAAGAAGCCCAUAAUGGCUGCUUGGAUAUCCUUCUGGUCGUGGAGCCUAGGGCUGGGCAUAUAUCGGGUAAAACCGAUAAUCCCAACCGUUAAUUAUUUAUUGGGUUAUCGGUAUUGGGUUAACGGUUUAGAAUUUUUUCACUAUUGGGUUAUCGGUUAGGGCCUCGAUUUGCCAAUUUUUUUAAUGGGUUAGCCGAUAACCCAAUAAGAAUUAAUAAAAUUACGACUUUACCCUUAAGUAUAUAUAUGCCAGUGCUUCUGUUCAUUAUCUCCUAUUCUUUCUCAGCCGCACUCUUUAUUCGCUUCAUCUUUAUUUUCAUAGAUCUUACUAGUUACUCAUACCGUAAGUCUUUAGUCUUAUACAUUAUGGUUCUAAUUUCUAUAACAAAAUUCAUCUUCAUAUAGGGCUUGCUCUAUGGUUUCUUUUUUCAGGUUAGGCAUUUGACAAACAACAUCCAGUUUAUCUUGGACCGUUUGAGGGCUUCAAUGCUUGUGGAAGUGCAGGUAUUUGUGUGAAAUAAAAAUUCUAAAUCAACUAUUGUUGUUAUCAUAUCGGAGG